rnacentral:ncRNA from 1 species
CCACAAUUUGGCUCUAGUUGCUAGGUUAACUAUAUCUAUAAAUUCACAUGCAAGAAAUUCAUUCCCGUAAACAAUACAUUAAUCUAAAAGAUUAAAUCAAAAUACAUCAUAUUAAUUUAAUAUCAAUGUUAAAUAAAUUACGCCAGCAGUGUAGAAAUCUGUUAAAACUGUUAAAACAAGAUUCGGUAAUAGAUAAUAAAGUUGAUAAAAUUCGUGCCAGCCAUCGCGGUUAGACGACAAACUUAAGUUAACCAAAUACGGAUAUAUGGUAAUUCACAACAGUUAUAAAAAAGAAAUUAAAAGGUCCAAUUUGAAAACUUAACCUCCUCUAUCUAUAACUAAUAACCACACCAUGAAAACCUAAACCAAAACAAGGAUUAGAUACCCUUUUAUUCUAGGUCAUAAACCCCAUCCUGGCACUACGAGCACAUGCUUAAAACCUAAAGAGCUUGGCGGUGUUUCAUCCAACUAGGGGAGCCUGUUAUAUAAAUCGAUAAUCCACGCUUAAAUAUACCUAUUUUAGAUAAUCAGCUUGUGUACUGCCGUCGAAAGUUUACACUGCAAAGUAGUAAACAAAAAAAUUUCACUAUUAUUACGUCAGGUCAAAGUGCAGCCUAUAAAUAGGAAAUAAUGGGCUACAUUUUCUAAAAAUUCGGACUACUUCAUAAUAAAACACAAAGAUGGACUUAGAAGUAAUUUAAAAUUCAAUAUAUUUAAAUGAAAAAGGUAAUCUGAAACGUGCACACAUCGCCCGUCGCUCUCCCCCAAAGGGGAGAUAAGUCGUAACAUAGUAGACGUAAUGGAAAUUGCGCCUUU